UCCUUAUAUAGCACUAUAACACCUCCCAUUAAUAGCUACACCCACAUAUACCUUUAACCAAUCAAUGAGCAGAAUAUAGACUUCUACAUCUAGUUAAACCACAUGGCCCAUCCAAGACAAAGGAAAUAAGUGCAAUUUCAGUUCCUGCAUUCCUGCACAUGCUCAGCAGAUUGAUGACAGUAUCCUAGCUACGUGUAGCUGACUAACUGACACA